rnacentral:rRNA from 1 species
AUACGGAGGAUCCGAGCGUUAUCCGGAUUUAUUGGGUUUAAAGGGAGCGUAGGUGGAUUGUUAAGUCAGUUGUGAAAGUUUGCGGCUCAACCGUAAAAUUGCAGUUGAAACUGGCAGUCUUGAGUACAGUAGAGGUGGGCGGAAUUCGUGGUGUAGCGGGGGAAUGCUUAGAUAUCACGAAGAACUCCGAUUGCGAAGGCAGCUCACUAGACUGUUACUGACACUGAUGCUCGAAAGUGUGGGUAUCAAACAGGAUUAGAUACCCUGGUAGUCCACACAGUAAACGAUGAAUACUCGCUGUUUGCGAUAUACAGUAAGCGGCCAAGCGAAAGCAUUAAGUAUUCCACCUGGGGAGUACGCCGGCAACGGUGAAACUCAAAGGAAUUGACGGGG